rnacentral:rRNA from 1 species
GACAGAGGGUGCAAACGUUGCUCGGAAUUACUGGGCGUAAAGGGCGUGUAGGCGGGAAGGCAAGUCGGGCGUGAAAGCCCCAGGCUCAACCUGGGAACUGCACUCGAAACUGCCUUUCUUGAGUGCCGGAGAGGAAAGCGGAAUUCCUGGUGUAGAGGUGAAAUUCGUAGAUAUCAGGAGGAACACCAGUGGCGAAGGGCGGCUUUCUGGGACGGUAAACUGACGCUGAGACGCGAAAGCGUGGGGAGCAAACAGG